AUUGAACGCUGGCGGCAUGCUUUACACAUGCAAGUCGAACGGCAGCGCGGGCUUCGGCCUGGCUGCGAGUGGCGAACGGGUGAGUCAUGCAUCGGAACUUGCCCAGUAGUUUGUGAUAGCCCGUCAAAAGCCGGAUUAAUACCGCAUACGACCUGAGGGUGAAAGCGGGGGACCGAAAGACCUCGCGCUAUUGGAGCGUCCGAUGUCGGAUUAGCUAGUUGGUGGGGUAAAGGCUUACCAAGGCGACGAUCCGUAGCUGGUCUGAGAGGACGACCAGCCACACUGGGACUGAGACACGGCCCAGACUCCUACGGGAGGCAGCAGUGGGGAAUUUUGGACAAUGGGGGCAACCCUGAUCCAGCCAUGCCGCGUGCGGGAAGAAGGCCUUCGGGUUGUAAACCGCUUUUGUUCGGGAAGAAAUCCUCUGGGCUAAUACCCCGGGGGGAUGACGGUACCGGAAGAAUAAGCACCGGCUAACUACGUG
rnacentral:rRNA from 1 species